GACGAACGCUGGCGGCGUGCUUAACACAUGCAAGUCGAACGGAAAGGCCCUGCUUUUGUGGGGUGCUCGAGUGGCGAACGGGUGAGUAACACGUGAGUAACCUGCCCUUGACUUUGGGAUAACUUCAGGAAACUGGGGCUAAUACCGGAUAGGAGCUCCUGCUGCAUGGUGGGGGUUGGAAAGUUUCGGCGGUUGGGAUUGACCCGCGGCUUAUCAGCUUGUUGGUGGGGUAGUGGCUUACCAAGGCUUUGACCGGUAGCCGGCCUGAGAGGGUGACCGGCCACAUUGGGACUGAGAUACGGCCCAGACUCCUACGGGAGGCAGCAGUGGGGAAUAUUGCACAAUGGGCGGAAGCCUGAUGCAGCAACGCCGCGUGCGGGAUGACGGCCUUCGGGUUGUAAACCGCUUUCGCCUGUGACGAAGCGUGAGUGACGGUAAUGGGUAAAGAAGCACCGGCUAACUACGUG
rnacentral:rRNA from 1 species